rnacentral:rRNA from 1 species
GGGCUUACACAAGCGGUGGAGCAUGUGGUUUAAUUCGACACAACGCGCAAAACCUUACCAAUUUUUGACAUAGAAAAGAAUGCAUAUUUUUGUGCUUUUUAUUUUCUACAGGUGCUGCAUGGCUGUCGUCAGUUCGUGGCGUGAGCUGUUGGGUUAAGUCCUAGAACGAACGCAACCCUCGGGUUCUUUGCUUUGAAUCAUUGAACUAACUGCCUUUGAGAUAAAGGAGGAAGGAGAGGAUGACGUCAAGUCCGCAUGGCCCUUAUGAAUUGGGCUACACACGUGCUACAAUGAUGAUGCCAAAAAGAUGCAAUUUGGUCACAAGGAGCAACCCUUUAAACAUCAUCUUAGUGCAGAUUGGUCUCUGCAACUCGAGACCAUGAAGUCGGAAUCGCUAGUAA